UGGGGAAUUUUGGACAAUGGGCGCAAGCCUGAUCCAGCCAUGCCGCGUGCGGGAAGAAGGCCUUCGGGUUGUAAACCGCUUUUGUCAGGGAAGAAAUCUUCUGAGUUAAUACCUCGGGAGGAUGACGGUACCUGAAGAAUAAGCACCGGCUAACUACGUGCCAGCAGCCGCGGUAAAUACGUAGGGUGCAAGCGUUAAUCGGAAUUACUGGGCGUAAAGCGUGCGCAGGCGUUUUGUAAGACAGAGGUGAAAUCCCCGGGCUCAACCUGGGAACUGCCUUUGUGACUGCAAGGCUUGAGUGCGGCAGAGGGGGGAUGGAAUUCCGCGUGUAGCAGUGAAAUGCGUAGAUAUGCGGAGGAACACCGAUGGCGAAGGCAAUCCCCUGGGCCUGCACUGACGCUCAUGCACGAAAAGCGUGGGGGAGCAAAACAGGAUUAGAUACCCUGGUAGUCCACGCCCUAAAACGAUGUCAACUGGUUGUUGGGAAGGUUCCUUCUCAGUAACGUAGCUAACGCGUGAAAGUUGACCGCCUGGGGAGUACGGCCGCAAGGUUGAAAACUC
rnacentral:rRNA from 1 species